UACGUAGGGGGCUAGCGUUAUCCGGAAUUACUGGGCGUAAAGGGUGCGUAGGUGGUUUCUUAAGUCAGAGGUGAAAGGCUACGGCUCAACCGUAGUAAGCCUUUGAAACUGGGAAACUUGAGUGCAGGAGAGGAGAGUGGAAUUCCUAGUGUAGCGGUGAAAUGCGUAGAUAUUAGGAGGAACACCAGUUGCGAAGGCGGCUCUCUGGACUGUAACUGACACUGAGGCACGAAAGCGUGGGGAGACAAACAGGAUUAGAUACCCGCGUAGUCCCUGAGCGGG
rnacentral:rRNA from 1 species